GUUUGUGACAGGACUCUCGGAGAAGAUAGAAUGCGUGGUACCUGGAGGAGGUCGCCCGUCGUUUAUGUUGAAAGCUGUUGCAAAUAUACCAAAGGGAAACGCCCCAAUGCCGAAUGACAUUUGGAAGCCACCGUCCCCAAACCCAAAGCCCUGGAAUCCCUGCAGAGAACAAAGCAACAGAAGAGAAAAAAGAUUGUUCUGAAAACGACUGAAUUACUGACAUUUAUUACAUCCAAGAACCAAGAGUGGCAACAGAUGAAUGGUUAAGAAACAAAGAACCCAUUUUCAAGUAGUCUUCCUAAAUAAAAAAAGUCUGGUCGAGUGUGAAGGCGACGUGGAAGUGAAGAUAUGUGUUUAGGGAUCCAGCACAAAUCCCACUGAGUUGCAUAAAGAAUAAGCGUGGCUGAAAGAGCUGGUGAAACUGGACCUCCGACAAGCAGACGGCACACUGGGACCUCAAAGCUUCCUGACAACUGAGAACAGAGGAGGUCCACGAAAGAAGUAAGUGCAGGAAACUGGUAAGGUCUAUGUACUGUGUAUAAAUACUGUGUAUAAAUCUCACUAACAGGCAAUAAGAAAGAAAUUUACUCAAAUACUUUAAAAACUAAAUCUAUAAAUCUAGUGAGAGAAACUGCACGCCAGGAAAAUACAAGCCCAAUAGCUACUGUAAAAGAUCACGUUUCUGAACUCAGCAAAUGAGAGAUUACACGUUUGCCAAAGUACACUGAGCUGACAGUAAAAGUACAAGAGAAACACUUCAAGACAAACUGGGAGAACACCAUGUGAACAAUAAUUCAACGUGAGAAAGACAGAGGGAAUAUAAACUAGACGCUAAUGUCAUCUGUAUUAAACAGUUGUAGAAUAUGCUUACAGCACUACAACAUUAGGAUGUUUGAAGCAUUUACUUUCUAAUCUUCUUUCAUGAGCAAUGAGAAAAAAUUCUGGCAAGGAUAUAGGACUCUGGCUAGUUUAUUAAUAAAACCCAAAGUUUA